rnacentral:rRNA from 1 species
CGUGUAGGCGGGAAUGUAAGUCGGGCGUGAAAUCCCUAGGCUCAACCUAGGAACUGCACUCGAAACUGCGUUUCUUGAGUAUCGGAGAGGAAAGCGGAAUUCCUGGUGUAGAGGUGAAAUUCGUAGAUAUCAGGAGGAACACCAGUGGCGAAGGCGGCUUUCUGGACGAUUACUGACGCUGAGACGCGAAAGCGUGGGGAGCAAACA